CCUUCAUGAAGCUGGAAUUGCUGUAAUGGCAGGUCAGCAUACUGCCGUGAAUACGUUCCCGGGCCUUGUACACACCGCCCGUCACACCAUGAGAGUUGGGAAUACCCGAAGCCUGUGAGCUAACUUAUAGAGGCAGCAGUCGAAGGUAGAAUCAAUGAUUGGGGUGAAGUCGUAACAAGGUAGC
rnacentral:rRNA from 1 species